rnacentral:rRNA from 1 species
GAAUAGGGGAGCCGAAGGGAAACCGAGUCUUAACUGGGCGUUAAGUUGCAGGGUAUAGACCCGAAACCCGGUGAUCUAGCCAUGGGCAGGUUGAAGGUUGGGUAACACUAACUGGAGGACCGAACCGACUAAUGUUGAAAAAUUAGCGGAUGACUUGUGGCUGGGGGUGAAAGGCCAAUCAAACCGGGAGAUAGCUGGUUCUCCCCGAAAGCUAUUUAGGUAGCGCCUCGUGAAUUCAUCUCCGGGGGUAGAGCACUGUUUCGGCAAGGGGGUCAUCCCGACUUACCAACCCGAUGCAAACUGCGAAUACCGGAGAAUGUUAUCACGGGAGACACACGGCGGGUGCUAACGUCCGUCGUGAAGAGGGAAACAACCCAGACCGCCAGCUAAGGUCCCAAAGUCAUGGUUAAGUGGGAAACGAUGUGGGAAGGCCCAGACAGCCAGGAUGUUGGCUUAGAAGCAGCCAUCAUUUAAAGAAAGCGUAAUAGCUCACUGGUCGAGUCGGCCUGCGCGGAAGAUGUAACGGGGCUAAACCAUG